GAAUCUUUAGUUUAAUUUGAAUUUUUUGUUUACAACAAAAGGGUUUAAAGAUUUU
rnacentral:tRNA from 1 species